rnacentral:rRNA from 1 species
AUCCAGCUGGCUAAUACCCGGUUGGGAUGACGGUACCCAAAGAAUAAGCACCGGCUAACUUCGUGCCAGCAGCCGCGGUAAUACGAAGGGUGCAAGCGUUACUCGGAAUUACUGGGCGUAAAGCGUGCGUAGGUGGUCGUUUAAGUCCGUUGUGAAAGCCCUGGGCUCAACCUGGGAACUGCAGUGGAUACUGGGCGACUAGAGUGUGGUAGAGGGUAGCGGAAUUCCUGGUGUAGCAGUGAAAUGCGUAGAGAUCAGGAGGAACAUCCAUGGCGAAGGCAGCUACCUGGAC